AAACCAGCUCUUCAAGUGGUCGGGACUAUUAUUGGGCUUAAAGCGUCCGUAGCCGGUUUGGUAAGUUCCUGGUUAAAUCGGGCGGCUUAACCGUCCGGUUGCUAGGAAUACUGCCAAACUAGGGGGCGGGAGAGGUCCGAGGUACUCCGGGGGUAGCGGUGAAAUGCGAUAAUCCUCGGGGGACCACCAGUGGCGAAGGCGUCGGACUGGAACGCGCCCGACGGUGAGGGACGAAAGCCAGGGGAGCGAACCGGAUUAGAAACCCCAGUAGUCC
rnacentral:rRNA from 1 species